rnacentral:rRNA from 1 species
AGUGAACGCUGGCGGUAGGCCUAACACAUGCAAGUCGAACGGCAGCACAGUAAGAGCUUGCUCUUACGGGUGGCGAGUGGCGGACGGGUGAGGAAUACGUCGGAAUCUACUUUUUCGUGGGGGAUAACGUAGGGAAACUUACGCUAAUACCGCAUACGACCUACGGGUGAAAGCAGGGGAUCUUCGGACCUUGCGCGAUUGAAUGAGCCGAUGUCGGAUUAGCUAGUUGGCGGGGUAAAGGCCCACCAAGGCGACGAUCCGUAGCUGGUCUGAGAGGAUGAUCAGCCACACUGGAACUGAGACACGGUCCAGACUCCUACGGGAGGCAGCAGUGGGGAAUAUUGGACAAUGGGCGCAAGCCUGAUCCAGCCAUACCGCGUGGGUGAAGAAGGCCUUCGGGUUGUAAAGCCCUUUUGUUGGGAAAGAAAAGCAGCAGGUUAAUACCCCGCUGUUCUGACGGUACCCAAAGAAUAAGCACCGGCCAACUUCGUG